rnacentral:rRNA from 1 species
AGUGGCGGACGGGUGAGUAACGCGUGAGAAUCUGCCUUGGGGUCGGGGACAACCACUGGAAACGGUGGCUAAUACCGGAUAAGCCGAUUGGUGAAAGAUUUAUUGCCCGAAGAGGAGCUCGCGUCUGAUUAGCUAGUUGGUGAGGUAAGAGCUCACCAAGGCAGCGAUCAGUAGCUGGUCUGAGAGGACGAUCAGCCACACUGGGACUGAGACACGGCCCAGACUCCUACGGGAGGCAGCAGUGGGGAAUUUUCCGCAAUGGGCGAAAGCCUGACGGAGCAAGACCGCGUGAGGGAGGAAGGCUCUUGGGUUGUAAACCUCUUUUCUCAGGGAAGAAGCUCUGACGGUACCUGAGGAAUCAGCCUCGGCUAACUCCGUGCCAGCAGCCGCGGUAAUACGGAGGAGGCAAGCGUUAUCCGGAAUUAUUGGGCGUAAAGCGUCCGCAGGUCGCGAUUCAAGUCUGCUGUCAAAGCACGGGGCUUAACUCCGUAAAGGCAGUGGAAACUGAAUAGCUAGAGUGCCGUAGGGGUAGAGGGAAUUCCCGGUGUAGCGGUGAAAUGCGUAGAGAUCGGGAAGAACAUCGGUGGCGAAAGCGCUCUACUGGACGGCAACUGACACUCAGGGACGAAAGCUAGGGGAGCGAAUGGGAUUAGAUACCCC